GCCAGUGUGAUAUAAUGGUUAUGACUCUGGGCUAUGACUCUGGAGACCAGGGUUUGAAUCCCUGCUGAGCCA